rnacentral:rRNA from 1 species
GGUUGAUCCUGCCAGUAUUAUAUGCUGAUGUUAAAGAUUAAGCCAUGCAUGUGUAAGUUUAAAGACCAAGUAGGAUGAAACUGCGGACGGCUCAUUAUAACAGUAAUAGUUUCUUUGGUUAGUAUUUACAAGGAUAACUUUGUGAAUGAUAAAGCUAAUACUUGAGACGAUCCGGGAAGUAUUUAUACUUUUCGGCCCUCGGUUGCAAGGCCGGGGUUGAACGACAUUCUCUUGUGAAAAAGGAUGCCGCGACAAUUGAGGAAAGCGACGCUUUUAACAAGUAACCAAUGGG